UGGGGAAUCUUGCACAAUGGGCGAAAGCCUGAUGCAGCGACGCCGCGUGCGGGAUGAAGGCCUUCGGGUUGUAAACCGCUUUCAGCAGGGACGAGGCCGCAAGGUGACGGUACCUGCAGAAGAAGCCCCGGCUAACUACGUGCCAGCAGCCGCGGUAAUACGUAGGGGGCAAGCGUUAUCCGGAUUCAUUGGGCGUAAAGCGCGCGUAGGCGGUUUGUUAGGUCAGGAGUUAAAUCUGGGGGCUCAACCCCUAUCCGCUCCUGAUACCGGCAGGCUUGAGUCUGGUAGGGGAAGGCGGAAUUCCAAGUGUAGCGGUGAAAUGCGCAGAUAUUAAAAAGAAUACCGGUGGCGAAGGCGACUUACUGGGCUCAUUCUGACGCUGAGGAACGAAAGCGUGGGGAGCAAACAGG
rnacentral:rRNA from 1 species